rnacentral:rRNA from 1 species
UAUUGGACAAUGGGCGAAAGCCUGAUCCAGCAAUGCCGCGUGAGUGAUGAAGGCCUUAGGGUUGUAAAGCUCUUUUACCCGGGAUGAUAAUGACAGUACCGGGAGAAUAAGCUCCGGCUAACUCCGUGCCAGCAGCCGCGGUAAUACGGAGGGAGCUAGCGUUGUUCGGAAUUACUGGGCGUAAAGCGCACGUAGGCGGCUUUGUAAGUUAGAGGUGAAAGCCUGGAGCUCAACUCCAGAAUUGCCUUUGAUACUGCAUCGCUUGAAUCCAGGAGAGGUGAGUGGAAUUCCGAGUGUAGAGGUGAAAUUCGUAGAUAUUCGGAAGAACACCAGUGGCGAAGGCGGCUCACUGGACUGGUAUUGACGCUGAGGGCGAAA